AUCGCUUCUCGGCCUUUUGGCUAAGAUCAAGUGUAGUAUCUGUUCUUUUCAGUUUAAAAAUAAAUUUUAUAAGUAAGUAAAUAGGAAAAGAAAAUGAAAUUAUU
rnacentral:snRNA from 1 species